CAGGAGUGAGCUGUGGGCACAGCUGUGGGGCAGCCAGGCGCGUCAGGCCUCACAUGUCUGGGAGAUGUAGGCUGCCUGGGCUGGUGGCCCCUGAGCCGCAUGGCCUCCCUGGGCCCCAGGACACCGGCCCCGAGCAGGUCACGAGGACGGAGGGCCAUGUGUUGGGUCAGCACCAUCAGCUCCUGCCCAUGUUAACUCAGCCGACACCGCAGCAGCAUGGUGACAGGUCCCCCCAGGGUGUCUGCCUCUACAGAGGAAGGGACUGAAGCACCCAGAGAGCUGGCAGGUAGGCCUGUGGAGUCCCCUGGAAUGAAUGAAUGGAAUUUAACCAUCAGGUCCCUGGAAGAGGGGCUGGGCACUGGGAAGCACAGCCAGGGAGGCCUGGCCAGCUAGGAGUGUGGGUGCUCCUUGGGGAUGCCCCCUGGUUUUCCCGAGCACAAGUGGGGCCAGAUUCUGUGAGCUGGGCUGAACUUCCCCAAGAGCAGCAUGGUC
rnacentral:lncRNA from 1 species